rnacentral:tRNA from 1 species
GCCCGGAUAGCUCAGUCGGUAGGAGCAUCAGAUUUUAAUCUGAGGGUCCAGGGUUCGAGCCCCUGUUCGGGCG